UCCUCCUUGCUCAUGAGCAAUUCAAGCCACAAGUUAGAUUGAUGAAGGCUUCUUCUCUGCAUGGGAUUGUAAGUCCACCCAGUGGAUGAUCAAACCCGAACUCUUCCUCAGCCUGACUUAGCAAGUUUUGGAAUGAAGGAUGCUUCAGGUAUGAAAUUGGAAUCACAAAUCUCUUCUUUUGAGUUUCUCCAACGUAGACAGGAACAUAGCCUUUGGGCACAUUUGUGGGCUCUGGAGAUGGAAGAAUGCGUCUCAGGAUCUGCUUGGCAGGAAUAAUCCUCUGAAAACGGAUAGCCAUGAGUUUCAAACUUAGUUCUUCAAACCAAAGUGGUUGAGAGAAAUGGAUUUCUAGAUGUUUGGGAAGCAAGAAAAGCUUUGAUACCUGGUUGUUGUGGCCAUAGAAUAGAUGUAUUUAUAGAACAAAUGCAAUAAGGCCAGUUUUCUCAAAUGCAAUGAAUGGUGGAAAGACAAUUGCAAUGGGGGUCCCUUAAAGAAGAUAUAUCACAGGUCAUCACAUGGUCUUGUCUCUGAUGCUUUCAUGUAUUUGUUGGUACAUCUUGGCCUACCAUUUAACAGAACAAACAGCAUAGCCCUACCCAAAAUUAUCAUCAUUGUAUUGCAUCCCACUGAUUAUAAUGAAUCGAAUUGAUCAUGUGGACAAAAACAUAACUUGAAGGACUAAAAUGCAGACCAGACUUCUCAUAUUAAUGGACAAAAUGCUACAAACUAUAGCAGACCACAAGUACCAGAUGUGUUAUAGGUUAUGACAGUACCAAAUAUAAGAGCAGACAAGUUAUCUUCUAAUGUGAUGUUUUUUGCUACCGUACAAGUGCGAAAUUGGUGCUGAGUCCGAGUCUUCAGCCUGAAUUUAGAGAGGUGACAGAUUGAGUGAACUCAUUGAACCGACAUCAUCAUUCAAACGAUGCUUAUGUCACGACUCAAACCUACCUGAUAUCGACCAAACCCUAGAAAAACAUGAAUUGGAUAAAGAAGCCUUUUAUUUCAACAGUCAAGUAAAAUAUUUUGUGCCAUAUAUGUAUGGUAUUGUUCUCAUGAAGGAAAACCUGUUUUCUCUUAGAAAAGAAUUUUUAUAAAGGGCCAAGAAAAAAAUGUACAUGGAAUUGCAUUUCCUUCCUUACAAAGUCAUUGGUGUUUUUUCUUUUUAUUUUCUUUUGUAAGCUCUUUUAAUACAUGUAGCCCAUUCAAAUGUGAAGUAAGGUCGAGGAAGAUAUCUUCUCUGCAAGAAAUUCUGAGACCACCCAUUGGAUGAUCAAAUCCAAAUUAAUCUUCUGCCAUAUGUAGUAGCUCUUGGAAUGUAGUUGCCCAAUUGUUGAAAUAUAUCAUGUCCUCUAACUCACUGUCCAGUGCAAAUCAAUCCCAAAAUCAUAUUGCGGUCCAGGUUCUGACAUGAAGUAAUGAUUCAUGAACUAAAAUAGAACAUGGCCAGAUGCUGGAAGACAACCAAAAACUCGUACAAAUCCUCAUGCUUCUCCUAUUUCAACCAUUGGUUAGACAGGGUAAUGUCUUUCUCUUCCCUCCUGUCUGAAUUCCCAUAAAACUGAACAUAUGCUUAGCCUUCCCUCUUAAGCACUUUUCAUGCAUUUCAAUCAAGGAACUCAGUUGAAAGACUCCAUGUAUCACAGUAGUAAAUGGACAGACCACAGUGGAAUUCAUAUGUUUAUCUGGCUUACGGACCAGUUCAUCUCUGAAAAACGAGAAACAUUAGCUCCUGAAGGCUUUAUCAUCCACCCCCCAGGUGGUAAUUGCAAAUGUGUAUAUGUACACAAUAUGCCCUGCCAUUUAUUAGAGAACUACCAAAAAAAGACCACUUGAAAUCCCAGAGAUGGAGAAACCUCUUGUCGAUUUAAGAACUGUACAAAAGCUCAAUCUGUAUGUGCAUUAGAGGCAUGCCUGAGAAAUCUAAUUCCUUUCUGUCUUCAUGGGGAGGAGACACAAUGGGGACUUCAUUGGCCACAUUGAUAACUUGGCUAUUACCAUUCACUUAAUUACAGAGGUGCUGACAUCCCAUAUUAGACCCUUCAAAGCUAUGUAAUAACAAUUCAUUUUCACAGCUUGAACUUACCUUUCAAUCCAAUGACAGACUCGAACAUGAUUCUCUCCUGACAAAACAGAUACUGGCUUAGUUGAUAUGGAUGUAUUAUUAUCAUUUAGGCAUUUUGCUUUUUCCAUUUCCAAACAAAGAAACUGUGAAACAGCAAUGGCCAAGUUUCUGAGUGUUAAGAGGAGAAUACAAGGGAAUGGCAUGGUUUUUUUUUUUUCUCCAAAAAACAAAGUCAAAGUCAAAGAAAUCCUUCAUAUUCUUUAUGUGAAGCUGAAAACAGAGAUCCAUUGCUGUCAUAUGACAUCCCAGUUUUCAUUUGCUUGGAAUGUUAUCAGAAAGGGCGACCCUUCAUAUGGAAUUUGGAUAAUCUCUCUUGGAGCCCUUCAAACUUAACGACUAGAAGAAACACAUUGACAAGGACAUCUGAAUAAUAUGAUUUCCUUUAUGGAUAAUUUAUUGCAGGCAACAUCAUAACAUGAACUGAUGAUUUGUGAUUCAAUGUUAUUGUCUGAUAAUGUCAAAAGAAAUGAAUUAGUGGUAGUUUUUGUGUUUAUCAGAACACAAACAAGCUUCAGACAUUUAUCACUGGAAGGCUAUGGUUAGCCAAAUGAAUAUAGUCCCUACCAGUUGGUUGAAACAGCUAACAUUUUCAAGUGGGCUCCUCAAGUUUGUUCUGAUAAUUUUAAGCAGCAGGCCAUGACGAGUUGCAGCAAAUAAAUUUUUGGUAGUAAGACCACCGAAAUCUUAUUAUUAGUUGGUAGGCAAAACCAUGUGAUCCCUUGUGUUGAAUGUCCAUAUAUGGACCCUAUCAAAGACUUCUCUUCACACCAACCCCAUUUGAGAAACUGGCCAUACAGAAUUUGCUUGCACUAUAUAUAUUCUACUCAUCCUAAGGAUAUGGCAUUCCACUGCCAAAGUUUUCUUAUUCUAGCACAUCUCAGAGUACCAUUUUACUUACCAUUAAUUUUCUCUGAUCAUACAAGUCAUGGGUUUUCGCUUGCCUGGGAUUGUUAAUGCAAAGCAAGUCGUGCAGCAAGUGUGCAAGGGUGCAGAGGCCAAAAAUGUACCAAAAGGCUAUUUUGCUGUUUAUGUGGGAGAAGUUCAAAAGAAGCGAUUUGUGGUUCCAAUCUCAUACUUGAAGAACCCUUCAUUCCAGAACUUGUUGAGUCAGGCUGAAGAAGAGUUCGGGCUUGAUCAUCCAAUGGGUGGUCUCACAAUCCCCUGCACAGAAGAAGCCUUUAUUGAUCUUACUAGUAGUUGGAACUGCUCAUGAGAGGGGAAGAAGUUAUGCAAAUGGCUAGUCAGUAGGACAUGUAAUUUCUAACGCCAUUGACUUGUAAUCCAGUCUCUCCAAUUUUGAGUUAGGAGAACUGGGUUGUUUCAUUUCCACAAAUUGUAAAUUGUUCUAUACAUUUUUCUGUAUAGAAAGUUGAGAGUCAAAUCUCUCUACAACAAAACAUUCAAACAGAAUCUCUUGGUUUUCCUCUUUCUCAUUGAUUUUGUUUCCCCUGGUCUUCUUAUAUAAAUAGUCACCAUGUAUAUGCACAUCAAAUUUGAGAAGAGUAACAAAAAAAUCCUAGAAGCUAAGGCCUGCUUGAUGGUUUUUAGCUCCUUCACUGCAGAUACUGAUGUGCAUAGACCUGUCGUAAAUGUUUGGGCAGAAUAUGUUCAUUUUCCAUUUACUUCAACCAAAAGCUAAAUCUUCAGUCCAGGAGUUGCUUUUCAAUUACCAUGGUCAGUGAAGCAUUGGGAUCUUGUUUCUUCCUUUCUUUUUAUCUUCGAUUUUCUCGUUUUCCCCAUUCCUCGUAGCUAGCCAGAGUCUCAGCUUACUCUGUUCAAGACUAUAUUUGGAAACUAGUUACAGAUCAACCAGUUAAUAUAGAUUUUGAUAUUUUGCAAUGCAGUUUUACCAUAUAUACUGUAACUUUGAUGGGGUUAGGCCAGUUUUUCUUCCUACUUCUGUUCAGCAUCAUUGAAUAAAAAGGCAACAAAAAUUAGGGAAAAGUAGCAGAGCUGCUGAGUUGUCAUUUCAUAGUGAUAAUAUCAUCCAUUAGACUUGCACCCAGGUAUUAAAAUUAGUCCAACUGCUAGUGGAACUACUAGGAAACACUUCAUGUGCUCUUUACAAGGGUCUGUUGCAAGCUGGUGUACUAAAGCAGGUCGGUGCCAGUGAUUUUUGUUGAUGUCAUGUUGUUAACAGCAGCUUUACUUUUUCAUUCAGCUGAGAUAUACCUUGAAUAUAUGUCAUUUUCAUGCUUUUUACAGUUUGUUCCAUGUUUAUUUUCAUGAUCUAACAUAGGAUGAUAGUAACCAUAUACACGUUGUUCUUGUACAGUUCUUAAAUUGACAAUAGGCUUCUCCUGUUAGUAACUCUUGGAUUUGGAGUAGCACCUGUAUGGGUGGUUCUCUAAGAAAUGGUACGGCAUCAUACGUUGAACAUUAUGAAUAGGAAGGCGAAGCUGCAUGAUCCGUCAGAAAGUGUUGUCUCUCAAAAGAAAAGUUCCCAACCCUUUGAUCUAUAGAUACACUCAAUCUCAUAUUUAAAACCCACACAAGUCUUUGACAUUGUCUACCACCAAAGCUUUAAUUCCUUUAUCCUACAAUUCCCCCAAAAUCAUUUUCUUGUUCUUUUUCUGUAGAUAUAUAUGUUGUCUCCACUAUAAAUCAUGGACUUUUCGAUUUAUGAUUCUAUUUCUUUUCAUCUCUUAAAGAACCUCUUGACCAACUCUUACCAGAAGAACUUGGGAAGCUGAAAGCUAGUCAUUUGAGGAUUUGGGAUGAAAACAAGUUACAAUAUUGCAAGGUUUUCUACAUAAGGGAAAAAUGAAUCUUUGUUCCCUCAGGUUAAACUUGAGGCCAAGGGAUCUUUGUGUACUUGCUAUAUGCUGCAAGUCAACACUUGUGAGGCAGUUGGGUGCAUGCAACUACGAAUAACCAAUAAGCCUAUUGUUUUCCCUGCUUACAUAUCAAAUGCUAAGUUCUCUCUUUCCUUUUCCUAGAAAUACUGGCAGUAUUGAUUCUUCUAAAAGUCACUAAAUCUUCAGUAGACGGCUUGUUUUGUCCUUCAACAUGGCAGUGAAACAAAUCCCCUAUCAUAUAACUACACCAUCUAAUGGAUAAGCUAUCUUUUGGAGGAUAUAAUGUGAUGGUCAUACAAAUAACUCAAAGCCAGAGAUAUCUAGGCUUUUAAUCAUUUAUCAUUUGACAAGUGUCACACUAAGAUUCCUCAUCUCAGUUGCCAAAUAUUUAGGUUGCUGAUGGUUGUGUGUUGCAUCACAAUUGAAACAUAUGAGUUUGACCACCGCAAUGAAAGACUUUAUCUGAUUCAUGGUCUUCUGGGGUUGGUGAAUCUGCUUGAUUUGUGUCUAGACAUAGACAUCAUAGAACAAUAGCAUAUGAUAUGUUGGUAUGGUGCUUCUGUUCAAUCUUUCAUUCCCCUGAAAUUCUGGCUGAAACUCGUACUCGGCACCAACUCCUCACUCGGAUGUAACAAGAAACAUCAUCGCGUUAGAAGAUAACUUGUCUACUCAGAUGUUCAACAGGGGUGGCCUGCUAUAUUUUGAAGCAUUUUGUACUUGAAUAUAAGAAAUCUGGUCUCUGAGUUAGUCCCUGAAGUUAGGCUUUUAUCCAAAUUAUCAGAGGGAUAUACAUUGCAAUCAGUCGGAUGCAUUACAAUAAUAAUAAUUUCAAGUGGGACUAUGCUGCUUGUUCUGUUGAGUGGCAGGCCACAAUGAACCAGCAAUUACAUCACAGUAGGAAUGCUAUCAAAAUCUUAUUAUUAGUUGGGAAGCAAAACCAUGUGACUCUUUGUGAGUUAUCUCCUUUAAGGGACCCCAUUGCAGUAGUCUCUUCAUCACUCAUUCCACUUGAGAAUACUGACCAUACAACAUUUUCUCUUUAAAUAUACCUACUCUGUGGGCAUACAUCCCCCAAGUUUCAAAGCAUUCUUAUAUUCCGAAAUCUUUGAAAUCCUUUCCCACCAUCACUUUUUGAGAAACUAAAUUUGAAACUCAUGGCAAUCCGUUUUCAGAGGAUUAUUCCUGCCAAGCAGAUCCUGAGACGCAUUCUUCCAUCUUUGGAGUCCACAAAUGUGCCGAAAGGCCAUGUUCCUGUCUAUGUUGGAGAAACUCAGAAGAAGAGAUUUGUGAUUCCAAUUUCAUACUUGAAGCAUCCUUCAUUCCAAAACUUGCUAAGUCAGGCUGAGGAAGAGUUUGGGUUUGAUCAUCCACUGGGUGGCCUCACAAUCCCAUGCAGAGAAGAAGCCUUCAUUGAUCUAACUUGCAGUUUGAACUGCUCAUGAGCAAGGAGAAAGAUCUCAAAAUGGCCGGCCUCAAGCACUCUCAUCUCUAACACCACUGACAACAAUUUUGUAUCAUUGCGAAAUAGGUCUUUUUGAAGUGAAAACAAUGUAAAUUUCUUCUAUUUUUUUCUGUAAAGCAGGUUGACAGUCAAAUGUCUUCAUCUUAAUCACACAGAAAUAACUAUGUUCCUUUUUCUUUCUUUUCUCCCUUGUGAUUCCUUAUUAGCCAAAAAGAAGUUUCAUUUUUUCAGUUUUCGGUCUUUCUAUUACAUCCAUGCAACAGUUUGCUUCUCCCUCUGUGUAACGCACCAUCAUUCUAAAUUGUAAAACACUUAGCUCUGAUAUUGAAUUAAAAGUUCAGAUAAACAAGAAAGAUAUAAGCUGUAAUCAACAUGAAAAGUAGAAGACAUUCCAGGAAUAUUCACAGCUGGAAGCCAGAGGGAGAACAACAGUUAACAUGUCCCCAACAAAAAUCACUGGCAUUGAGCUACUUUAGUACAUCAACUUGCAAGGAACACUCUCACAUGAAGUGCCUCCUACUAGGGCCCAAGGCAGUAGAAUCCAUUUUAAAACAUAAGAUCAUUGGUUGCAGUGUUAAAUUGGAAAAUUUGAAUUAUUUUAAAACACAAGUGCCUCAUCUCUCUCUCUCUCUCUCUCUCUCUCUCUCUCUUCCAUUUUUUUUUUAUUAAAAUUAAGGAACAGGCUUAGCCCCAUGAAGAUCAGGUAAAUAUGGUAAAUAUGUAUAUAUAACCACUUUGAGAGACACAUUCAAAUGCUUUCAAUGCUAAUCAGAAAAAGUCAGAAAAGAUAAGGUUAUCAUCAAUAUAAACAAUUGCAGAGAAUGUAUACCAAUUAAAUGUCAUUUAUAAUAUUUAGGAAUUCCAAGGCAAUCAAAUUCUAUUCAUAAUGUCCAAGACAUACUGUGAAUGUUAUUUUAUCAUCUAUGUAUGGUAAUUGAACAAGUCUUUGAUUGAAGGUUUAGCUUUAGGUUUGCUUUGAGUGGUAAACUAAACAUUAUGACUCCCAAAUGGUUUAUUUAUCAAACCUUUGCUCAAAUUUUUGUGUUUUGGAUUGCUCAACUCAAAUUUUUUAGCUAUCUGGUAAUCUGAUCUAUAUCAACCAACAAGUGGGAACUAUAUUCAUUGAUCUACUAAGCAUAGCUCACCCAUAGCAUAUGAUAGAAACUUGUUGGUGUUCUAAAAAAAACAAAUUAUGAGCUCAUGUGAUGAUGUUGCUUGAAAUAAAUUUUCCAUAGGGGAAAUCACGUUGUUCAAAGUCCUUGUCAAGGUAUUAAACAACAAAGAUAAACAAAGGAAAAUGUAAUGGCUACCGGCAAGGAAUGGAUAUUGAUAAUAAAACAAUGCCCUUCUCCUGUCCCCAUUUGUCCUACCAUUGGAAAUGCCUCUACUUGGUUUUCAGAUUCAAACAUAAUCCUGUUUCUAUCCUUCUCCAUAGAUUCAAGUUCUAAAAUUCUGUCUAGAUGCUCAAUCAAAGAUAUAAAUCAACAUUGGCACUUCUUUAAGCAUGUCAAUUGGUUUCUGAUGAGCAUUAAAGCUCCAAAAUGGGCACCACUUUGAAUUAGGAAGGUUCAAAGAAGGCCAUUCAUUUGAAAUUACAUUUACAUUUUGACUACUAUUUCUAAUCCAUCAAUUACAACAACAAGAAUAGGAUACUAAAACUUGAUAUGUUUUUAUGAAUAACAAUCAUCAUAAGUUGUCCUUUCUUGAAAGUUGCUGAAUAUGGCCUUACCAGAAUAAUAGAAUCCAAAAUAUUUAAACUAAGUAGAUUUGGUUUCAUUGGACACUGGAAACUUAUGGCAAUAACUUUUACUAAAUGGCUGCCUGAGAAAGACAAAUAGCAUAAAAAAUAAGUUAAAGCUAAGCAAUUAAGAUGAACAAAUUUGAUUGUCAACUUUUCCAGAAAAAUGGAAUAAAUUUACAUUGUUCUCAAGACCAAAAAAGAAAAAAGAAAAAAACCCAACUCAUAAAUUCAAAAAUGCUGGGUUGGUUUUUGUGGUCAAUGGUGUCAUAGCUUUGGUAUCCUUGAGCCUGGUCAUUAUAUGAUUUUCCUCCUUGCUCAUGAGCAAUUCAAGCUGUAAGUUAGAUUGAUGAAGGCUUCUUCUCUGCAUGGGAUUGUGAGUCCACCCAGUGGAUGAUCAAACCCGAACUCUUCCUCAGCCUGACUUAGCAAGUUUUGGAAUGAAUGAUGCUUCAGGUAUGAAAUUGGAAUCACAAAUCUCUUCUUCUGAGUUUCUCCAACAUAGACAGGAACAUAGCCUUUGGGCACAUUUGUGGGCUCUGGAGAUGGAAGAAUGCGUCUCAGGAUCUGCUUGGCAGGAAUAAUCCUCUGAAAACGGAUGGCCAUGAAUUUCAAGCUUAGUUCUACAAACUAAAGUAGUUGAAAGAAAUGGAUUUCUAGAUGUUUGGGAAGCAAGAAAAGUUUGAUACUUUGUGGAUAUGCCCGUAGAAUAGAUGUAUUUAUAGAACAAAUGCUAUGUGGCAAGUUUUU
rnacentral:lncRNA from 1 species